ensembl:lncRNA
UUAUACAAUAAAGGAGUGGCUCAUGAGACCUCUUUUAGUGAGUGGUCUAGCAGUGCGCCCCAGUCUCAUGAAGCGUGCUGCCGAGAGAGUUAGCUCCCGUUCCAAAGCUUUUAAUUCAGACAAUGAAAUUCUCCGUUGGCCCCUUAUUGAAGAUAUAUGUUAAAAACACCCUAAAGAUUGCAAAAACACCCUAAACACCCUAAAGAUUGAUUGCAGACAUGUUUUGACUUGUUUCUACAACCUGUAACGGAACUUUUUGAGUUUUUGUCAUGGUGGAAAUGGUCGCUCCUCCAUGAAGAUUGAUUACUGGGCUGAACACGCUAACACUUGUGGGUAAAUGAUGGGCUUAUGGAACUUUAUGGAAGAAAUCAGUCAUUUAUGGUCGAACUGGGAUUCCAGGGACUGCCUUCUGAUGAAGAUUAUCAAAGCUAAGUGAAUAUUUAUAGUGUUUUUUCUAACUAAUGUUGACUCCAAGAUGGCGGAAAUGUCUAGUUGUUUAUAAGCAGGUACUGAGUGCCGUUCUCAGAUUAUGCUUUUUCCGUAAAGUUUUUAAAAAAUCUGGCACAGCGGUUGCUUAGAGGAUAAGUCCAUCUUUAAUUCUGUGAAUAACACUUGCAUCUUUUAUCAAUGUUUAUUAUGAGUAUUUCUGGGAUGUUUUGGAAUCAAACAUUACUGCACAUAAUGCGCCAAUGUAAACUGAGAUUUUUGGAUAUAAAUAUGCACAUUAUUGAACAAAACAUACAUGUUGUCAUUUUAAUCCAUAUAGACGUGAAGGAGAAGCUCGUCGGAUGUUGAUCUCUUCUCGUAACAUGAUGUCCUAUGAGUGUCAUCUGAUGAUAAUCAUCAAGAGUGCCUGAUCUGUGAGCAGAGGAGAUGUUCAGGACAACAACACAGCAGGCGAGCGAGCGGCAGGGAGAGAGAGAAAGAGAGCGAGGGAGCGUGAGAGACUGCCACACUGACAGCUGGAGGAGAAAAACAGAAAUAUAAAAGGGAAGGAGAACGCAGUGCUUUCAGCUUGUAAGCACUGGCUGGAUGUUUUAUUUUUUUUCUCUUCCCUACGCGCGCCCAUGUGGUUUUUCUUAUCCUCUCGCACAUGUGUAUCAAACAAUGACUGUAAAAAGAAGAGGUAUCAAGCUCACAUCAUGGAGAGAGCAUGGAGACGCUUGCUCACUACACACCCUUUCUGAAGGAGAGAGAGUUGCGGCUGUGGAUGGACCAGUUUUAACAGAGGAUUGCCUGCUACAGAUGAAGAAAGAGCGCUUUUUUUCACAUUGGCUACAUUGAUUUUCCUGAUUGGAUUUUGAUCGGAGGAAAGGCGGGUUAGGCAUUUGUUUGUUAAUUUGCUGUUUGGCUUGGCGCCCACAGCACAGCACGGCACAAAGCUUCCCUCCCUUUCCUCUGGGAGACCAGGGAGAUGGUGAGUGAAACUGGCUCUGUACAGCCCUCCCC